CUUUUACAAUGAAGAGUUUGAUCCUGGCUCAGGAUGAACGCUAGCUACAGGCUUAACACAUGCAAGUCGAGGGGCAUCGGGAAGAAAGCUUGCUUUCUUUGCUGGCGACCGGCGCACGGGUGAGUAACACGUAUCCAACCUGCCCUUUACUCGGGGAUAGCCUUUCGAAAGAAAGAUUAAUACCCGAUGGCAUAAUGAUUCCGCAUGGUUUCAUUAUUAAAGGAUUCCGGUAAAGGAUGGGGAUGCGUUCCAUUAGGUUGUUGGUGAGGUAACGGCUCACCAAGCCUUCGAUGGAUAGGGGUUCUGAGAGGAAGGUCCCCCACAUUGGAACUGAGACACGGUCCAAACUCCUACGGGAGGCAGCAGUGAGGAAUAUUGGUCAAUGGGCGCUAGCCUGAACCAGCCAAGUAGCGUGAAGGAUGAAGGCUCUAUGGGUCGUAAACUUCUUUUAUAUAAGAAUAAAGUGCAGUAUGUAUACUGUUUUGUAUGUAUUAUAUGAAUAAGGAUCGGCUAACUCCGUGCCAGCAGCCGCGGUAAUACGGAGGAUCCGAGCGUUAUCCGGAUUUAUUGGGUUUAAAGGGAGCGUAGGUGGACUGGUAAGUCAGUUGUGAAAGUUUGCGGCUCAACCGUAAAAUUGCAGUUGAUACUGUCAGUCUUGAGUACAGUAGAGGUGGGCGGAAUUCGUGGUGUAGCGGUGAAAUGCUUAGAUAUCACGAAGAACUCCGAUUGCGAAGGCAGCUCACUGGACUGCAACUGACACUGAUGCUCGAAAGUGUGGGUAUCAAACAGGAUUAGAUACCCUGGUAGUCCACACAGUAAACGAUGAAUACUCGCUGUUUGCGAUAUACAGUAAGCGGCCAAGCGAAAGCAUUAAGUAUUCCACCUGGGGAGUACGCCGGCAACGGUGAAACUCAAAGGAAUUGACGGGGGCCCGCACAAGCGGAGGAACAUGUGGUUUAAUUCGAUGAUACGCGAGGAACCUUACCCGGGCUUAAAUUGCAGUGGAAUGAUGUGGAAACAUGUCAGUGAGCAAUCACCGCUGUGAAGGUGCUGCAUGGUUGUCGUCAGCUCGUGCCGUGAGGUGUCGGCUUAAGUGCCAUAACGAGCGCAACCCUUAUCUUCAGUUACUAACAGGUUAUGCUGAGGACUCUAGAGAGACUGCCGUCGUAAGAUGUGAGGAAGGUGGGGAUGACGUCAAAUCAGCACGGCCCUUACGUCCGGGGCUACACACGUGUUACAAUGGGGGGUACAGAAGGCAGCUAGCGGGUGACCGUAUGCUAAUCCCAAAAUCCUCUCUCAGUUCGGAUCGAAGUCUGCAACCCGACUUCGUGAAGCUGGAUUCGCUAGUAAUCGCGCAUCAGCCACGGCGCGGUGAAUACGUUCCCGGGCCUUGUACACACCGCCCGUCAAGCCAUGGGAGCCGGGGGUACCUGAAGUACGUAACCGCAAGGAUCGUCCUAGGGUAAAACUGGUGACUGGGGCUAAGUCGUAACAAGGUAGCCGUACCGGAAGGUGCGGCUGGAACACCUCCUUUCUGGAG
rnacentral:rRNA from 1 species